CGUAGGUGGCAAGCGUUAUCCGGAUUUACUGGGCGUAAAGGGUGUGCAGGCGGAGGCUCAAGUGGUGUAUGAAAUCGCCCGGCUCAACCGGGCGGGGUUAUGCCAGACUGGGCUUCUAGAGACCGAGAGAGGGGCAUGGAAUUCCGGGUGUAGUGGUGAAAUGCGUAGAGAUCCGGAGGAACCCCAGAGGCGAAGGCGGUGCCCUAGCUCGGUUCUGACGCUCAGACACGAAAGCAUGGGGAGCGAACGGGAUUAGAAACCCCGGUAGUCCAUGCCGUAAACGAUGUCGACUAGGCGCUGGAGGACUGAACCCCUUCGGUGCCGCAGCUAACGCGCUAAGUCGACCGCCUGGGGAGUACGGCCGCAAGGCUA
rnacentral:rRNA from 1 species